UCUAAAACGACUCUCGGCAACGGAUAUCUCGGCUCUUGCAUCGAUGAAGAACGUAGCGAAAUGCGAUACUUGGUGUGAAUUGCAGAAUCCCGUGAACCAUCGAGUCUUUGAACGCAAGUUGCGCCCGAAGCCAUUAGGCCGAGGGCACGCCUGCCUGGGUGUCACUAAA
rnacentral:rRNA from 1 species